CUGAGUUUACAACUCCUAAACCCACUGUGAAUUUACAUCUGUCGUUCCUUUGGCAGGCGGUUCCUGGGAGGAGCCAUAGCCUAAUGGGCGCCUGCCAUAGGGGCUGAAACUCUUGAAUUUCAGUUGUCUGAGCUCUUAUAAAUAAGAAUCA
rnacentral:misc_RNA from 1 species